CAGUAGCCGCGGUAAUACGUAGGUGGCAAGCGUUGUCCGGAAUUAUUGGGCGUAAAGGGCUCGCAGGCGGUUUCUUAAGUCUGAUGUGAAAGCCCCCGGCUCAACCGGGGAGGGUCAUUGGAAACUAGGAAACUUGAGUGCAGAAGAGGAGAGUGGAAUUCCACGUGUAGCGGUGAAAUGCGUAGAGAUGUGGAGGAACACCAGUGGCGCAGGCGACUCUCCUUUCUGUAACUGACGCUGAGGAGCGAAAGCGUGGGGAGCGAACAGGAUUAGAUACCCGCGUAGUCCCUGUCUCUUAUAC
rnacentral:rRNA from 1 species